CCGGUUCCGGUUCACGCCCACAUCGGCGCGUACGACGCGACGGGGCGACCCGGCGACC
rfam:Micromonospora nigra strain DSM 43818 genome assembly, contig: Ga0070616_13